rnacentral:rRNA from 1 species
AUUGAACGCUGGCGGCAGGCCUAACACAUGCAAGUCGAGCGGAUGAAGGGAGCUUGCUCCUGGAUUCAGCGGCGGACAGGUGAGUAAUGCCUAGGAAUCUGCCUGGUAGUGGGGGAUAACGUCCGGAAACGGGCGCUAAUACCGCAUACGUCCUGAGGGAGAAAGUGGGGGAUCUUCGGACCUCACGCUAUCAGAUGAGCCUAGGUCGGAUUAGCUAGUUGGUGGGGUAAAGGCCUACCAAGGCGACGAUCCGUAACUGGUCUGAGAGGAUGAUCAGUCACACUGGAACUGAGACACGGUCCAGACUCCUACGGGAGGCAGCAGUGGGGAAUAUUGGACAAUGGGCGAAAGCCUGAUCCAGCCAUGCCGCGUGUGUGAAGAAGGUCUUCGGAUUGUAAAGCACUUUAAGUUGGGAGGAAGGGCAGUAAGUUAAUACCUUGCUGUUUUAACGUUACCAACAGAAUAAGCACCGGCUAACUUCGUG